rnacentral:tRNA from 1 species
GCCUGGCUGGCUCAGUUGGUUGAGCAUCCGACUUCAGCUCAGGUCAUGAUCUCAUGGUUUGUGGGUUCAAGCCCCGCAUCGGGUU